CCUACGGGGGGCAGCAGUAGGGAAUUUUCCACAAUGGACGAAAGUCUGAUGGAGCAACGCCGCGUGCAGGAGGAAGGCCUUCGGGUCGUAAACUGCUUUUAUUUGUGACGCAGUAGCAAAUGAAUAAGGAUCGGCUAACUCCGUGCCAGCAGCCGCGGUCAUACGGGGGAUCCAAGCGUUAUCCGGAAUUACUGGGCGUAAAGAGUGCGUAGGUGGCAAUCUAAGUUUCUGUUUAAAUAUCAAGGCUCAACCUUGGGAAAGGCAGGAAAACUGGAUAGCUUGAGUAUGGGAGAGGUAGAUGGAAUUUCUAGUGUAGGAGUGAAAUCCGUAGAUAUUAGAAGGAACACCGAUGGCGUAGGCAGUCUACUGGCCUUACUGACACUAAGGCACGAAAGCGUGGGGAGCGAACGGGAUUAGAUACCCUUGUAGUC
rnacentral:rRNA from 1 species